AGGUAUGCUAAGGUGCCCGUACCGCAAACCGACACAGGUAGAUGAGGAGAGAAUCCUAAGGCCAACGGGAGAAGGGUUGUCAAGGAACUCGGCAAGUUGACCCCGUAACUUCGGAAGAAGGGGAGCCUCGAAAGAGGCCGCAGUGAAUAGGCCCAGGCAACUGUUUACCAAAAACACAGGUCUAUGCUAAAUCGAAAGAUGACGUAUAUGGGCUGACGCCUGCCCGGUGCCGGAAGGUUAAGAGGAGAUGUCAGGCAACGAAGCAUCGAAUUGAAGCCCCGGUAAACGGCGGCCGUAACUAUAACGGUCCUAAGGUAGCGAAAUUCCUUGUCAGGUAAGUUCUGACCCGCACGAAUGGCGUAAUGAUCUGGGCACUGUCUCGACAGCCCACCCGGCGAAAUUGUAGUACUGGUGAAGAUGCCAGUUACCCGCAACUAGACGGAAAGACCCCAUGGAGCUUUACUGCAGCUUAAUACUGGAAAUCGGUAAUUCAUGUACAGGAUAGGUGGGAGACGGAGAAGCAUGGUCGUCAGGUCAUGUGGAGUCGCCCUUGGGAUACCACUCUUGGAUUGCUGGUUUUCUAACCUGCGGCCGUGAAUCCGGUCGGGGGACACUGUUAGGCGGGCAGUUUGACUGGGGCGGUCGCCUCCAAAAAGGUAACGGAGGCGCUCAAAGGUUCGUUCAGCACGGACGGAAAUCGUGCAUUGAGUGUAAACGCAUAAACGAGCCUAACUGCGAGACCGACGGGUCGAGCAGUAACGAAAGUUGGAGUUAGUGAUCCGGUGGUAUGUGAGUGGAAAUGCCAUCGCUCAACGGAUAAAAGCUACCCUGGGGAUAACAGGCUGAUCUCCCCCAAGCGUCCACAGCGACGGGGAGGUUUGGCACCUCGAUGUCGGCUCGUCGCAUCCUGGGGCUGAAUUCGGUCCCAAGGGUUUGGCUGUUCGCCAAUUAAAGCGGCACGCGAGCUGGGUUCAGAACGUCGUGAGACAGUUCGGUCCCUAUCUGUUGCGGGCGUAAGAGAUUUGAAGGGAGCUGUCCUUAGUACGAGAGGACCGGGAUGGACGUACCUCUGGUGCACCAGUUGUCCUGCCAAGGGCAUAGCUGGGUAGCUAUGUACGGACGAGAUAAACGCUGAAAGCAUCUAAGCGUGAAACUCCCCCUAAGAUGAGAUCUCUCAUUCGAAAGAAGUAAGGACCCAGAGAGACGAUCUGGUUGAUAGGCGCGAGGUGGAAGUGCAGUAAUGUAUGGAGCUGACGCGUACUAAUAGUCCGAGGGCUUGACCU
rnacentral:rRNA from 1 species